AACGAACGCUGGCGGCAUGCCUAACACAUGCAAGUCGAACGAGACCUUCGGGUCUAGUGGCGCACGGGUGCGUAACGUGUGGGAACCUGCCCUUAGGUUCGGAAUAACUCCCCGAAAGGGGUGCUAAUACCGGAUAAUGUCUUCGGACCAAAGAUUUAUCGCCUUUGGAUGGGCCCGCGUUGGAUUAGCUAGUUGGUAGGGUAAAAGCCUACCAAGGCGACGAUCCAUAGCUGGUCUGAGAGGAUGAUCAGCCACACUGGGACUGAGACACGGCCCAGACUCCUACGGGAGGCAGCAGUGGGGAAUAUUGGACAAUGGGCGAAAGCCUGAUCCAGCAAUGCCGCGUGAGUGAUGAAGGCCUUAGGGUUGUAAAGCUCUUUUACCCGGGAUGAUGAUGACAGUACCGGGAGAAUAAGCUCCGGCUAACUCCGUG
rnacentral:rRNA from 1 species